rnacentral:rRNA from 1 species
CUUGGAGGAAUGUAUAGCAACAGCUAUUUGCGUAGUAAUACUAUGCAAAAUCAACUAUGUUGAAUAAAGUUCUGGUUAGAUUAUGAUUAUGACAUUUUCUAACCAUGUGUCUUGACCAAAUUACGUGCCAGCAGUCGCGGUAAUACGUAGAAGACUAGUGUUAUUCAUCUUUAAUAGGUUUAAAGGGUACUUAGACGGCAGAUAAAGCCAUAAUAGGAACUAAUCUGCUAGAGUUACUUGUAAGGGGGCUAUAAAGUACUAAUGGUGUAGGGAUAAAAUCCUCUGAUACCAUUUUUGGAAACAAAAGUAAUGGCACUGGUA